UUGAUAAACAAGUUUACAACUUAAAUUUAUAUCUCUCGUUGGCACAGAUAUUAGCGCGAGGGGGUCGUUGGUGUGGGAAGAAACCGAAGUACCUGGAGGGAACCCACGUGUCCAAGCGGGCGACCGCCAUACCCUAUCAUAUACAACCAUUGUCGAUCACGGGUGUCGAACUCGGGUCACAGCGACCAAGUACUUUGGAUUAUCAUGUCAAGUUAGACAAAAACCAUGGAACGUAAAAAGAUGUGUAUCAUUUUUGGCACAUUAAUAUAUCUACAGACAAUACUUAGUGCGAUCGGUGGGAUUAAAUGUUUAUGGUCAAGUCAAACAUUACGAACAGUUACGUCUUGUCCCGAAAACACGGAUGAAAUGAAUGUCAGAGACAGAAAGAAAAAUUGUGAUUCAAUAGCUCGCGAACAAAACUGUACAAAGCCUGAAAAAUUCAAGUACCACUGUGUCAUGAAUGCGCUGGAAAACGCAUUCAUUGAAGUUUAUGCACCCGAAUAUCGAAUACAUGGGUAUUGUACAGAGUAUAAUGAAGUUGGUACUGUCAUACAGGAACAUUACAAUCGAAAAUGUGCUGACGUAUCACCUCCCUGUGCAUCGACAUAUUUGUCUACAGAAUCGUACCAUUUUAAAGGCUGCUACAAAGUUGUGAAAAAUAAAAACUUCAAGUCGUCUACAAAGUUGAGUUUGCUUAUUCAAAGCACACCAGGGUACACCAACUAUACGUUCCUCUAUUUCACCAGCUGCAAACCCUGCAUGCAUCUUGCACCAAUGCUAUACCUGUUUACAUUAUCAGUCAGUGUAAGGGGCAUUUAGUGCGACUGAUUUUGAAGGAAAUAACACACAACUUCCAUGUAAGACACUUACGAAAAUCUGUGGUUUCAUUGUUGACAAAAUUAUAAUCGAUGCCUGUAGGACGAUAAGAGACUAGUGGUUAGGAAAAUCGACUUCAAAUUUUAAAACACUCAACUGCUUUGCUCCAUAGUCUGCACCAGAAACAACGUUGGAUUGAUAGUAACAACUUAUUGUAAAGUUGAGAUAAACUAUAUAGCAUGUGUAAUUACCCAUUUAUUUCAAUCGAUAUUAUUUGUUCGUUGCUUGGGUGUACAGCAUGUUGAGUUUUCUGUGAAAAAUGUGAACGUUAUAAUUAUGUGUCAUUAUGCAGAGUAAAUCGGCAGUUUUGAAUAACUAGAAGAGACAUGAUAGGUAUUUAUUUACUUUCUGUGCUAGACUUGUUAAUAAUUUUAAAAUUAGUUAUCUCGAAAAUUUGAAGAAAAAAAGAUUUUGAGGCCAAACCUAUUCUAAUGAUCGGGUUCGGUAGCAAGAUCGCUGUGUAUUGAAGAAACGAGGCCAGUAUACAUCCAGUUCUACAUGUAAUAUCAUGCACUACUUGUAUCAUUACCUUUAUCAUUUCUAGCAAACAUAUAAGAUCUGUAAAAUAGUGUAAAGUAUUGUGUUGUAUAAUAUAUCGGCAAUUUUUUAUUGUAUUAUUACAAUCGGGUUCGUUAUAGGGUUUUUGCUGUUAAAUAGUAGAGAACCAGUUAGACUGUUUGGUUUGAUUUGAGGUAACAAAUGGUCUCAAAAUUUCGGCAUUACCAAUCAAAGGGGUUACCGAGAGAAGACUUGGAUUGCUUAUGAAAUACUCUUAGAAUGCUUGUAAUUAGAAAGAUAUCCAUAGAUAUAUUUUGACACACUCUAUAUGUGUAUUACAAUAUAGUGCAUUUGUAUUAUAUUUUGAUGCAAUAUUUCUACUUUUGAACAUCUUAUGUAUUUGAAUAUUGCUUCACAGGGUAAAUAUUAAAAGAUAUUCAUUUGAAUAACAGUACCCAACAUUUAUGCAACUACCUUUUGAAACAAUAGAUCGGAAUAUUAUAUUUGCUACUAUCAUUUCCUUCUUUUUAUAAAAAAACAAUUUUCGGAAAUACUUUUAUGUUGAAUAUGAGCGACAGGUCUUUUGUUACCGGUCUGAAAAGUAUUUUGAUGACCGAUCUGGGAGCUACAAUUUCCCAGGUUAUGAAAAGUUAUACAAAUACUUUCGCUUGUUCUGGACUUGGCGCAAGUUAUUGUGCACAGUAAAGUCCUAUUUUUAACAUGUACGGAACUAGGUGUGGUAUUAAUAAAUUUUUGUUUUUUAAUUAUAUAGAUCGGCUUUAAAAUUAGUACCUUUUAACCACAUUUAGUAGAUCCGACUUAAAACUAAUAAUGAAUCGACGAUUUUUAUUCAUGAUUUAAUGUAAAACUGCUUUAAAACUGUUUUUAAUAUUAGAGAAAUUAUAUAAUGAUUGCCUCAGUCUGUUAAAAUUAUAUAUUUUGAUUUCUAAUAAACAAGUAGAAAACA